rnacentral:rRNA from 1 species
AUGAACGCUGGCGGCGUGCCUAAUACAUGCAAGUCGAGCGGUAAGGCCCCUUCGGGGGUACACGAGCGGCGGACGGCUGAGUAACGCGUAGGAACAUACCCCAAACUGAGGGAUAACUGCUCGAAAGAGUAGCUAAUACCGCAUGUGAUCUAAGGAUUAAAGCUUCGGCGGUUUGGGAAUGGCCUGCGUAUGAUUAGUUUGUUGGUGAGGUAAUGGCUCACCAAGACUACGAUCAUUAGCUGGUCUGAGAGGAUGAUCAGCCAGACUGGGACUGAGACACGGCCCAGACUCCUACGGGAGGCAGCAGUAGGGAAUUUUCCACAAUGGGCGAAAGCCUGAUGGAGCAACGCCGCGUGCAGGAUGAAGGCUUUCGGGUCGUAAACUGCUUUUAUAGGUGAAGAUUAUGACGGUAACCUAUGAAUAAGGAUCGGCUAACUCCGU